CUCUCCCUGCCCCUGGGUCCGGGCGCAGAAGGGGAGUCUCAGGGGAGUGCCCAGCAUUGGGCGCUGGCUGCAUGGAGCGAUGGGGAGUAGGGAGUGGGCAGUGGAGGAGAAAGUUAGGUGGGGAGGAGAAUCUGUCUGGCCAUGCCUGAGUUUUACAGAAUACUUUUUCAUUUUCCUUUUUUUUUUUUUUGAGGCAAGAGUCUGGCUCUGUCGCCCAGGCUGGACUGCAGUGGUGUGAUCAUGGCUCACUGCAGCCUCAAAUUCCUGGGCUCAAGUGAUCCUCCUGCCUCAGCCUCCCAAAUAGCUGGGACUACAGGCGUGCGCCACCAUGCCCAG